ensembl:lncRNA
CAUUGAUUAAGUGAUCUGUCAACAGAAAAAAAACAAUGUUCCUGGCUCCAGAUGUUGAGAUGAGGACUCCAGUAUUGAAUCAAUAAAAAAGGAGAAGUUUCAACUCGUCACAUGGCUUCUUGGAAACUGUAACAGGAUUUUCCACAAUGGUUCAGCCCUCCGUAGCUUUCUUCCAUUCCUGCUCCCUAUUGGCUGCUGUCCUCAGAGGGUGGAUAUAAGUAUGGGGUAA